CAAUAUUUUUCCUCUGAAGAAAGCCGCCAAGAUUUGGUCCUGACAGGAGUGAAGACCAGGAUGGAGCUCAGUGAUGGAUGACAGACUGAAGGACACAACAGAAGAAGAAGGGCUUGUUGUAGGAGUUUAACGAGAAAACUAAAGGUCCUCUUGAAAGCCAUACUAUUUCUUUCAAACAGCAUGAGCACUGAAGGCUCAGAACUACCACAGGAGGUGAAACCUAAAAGCUCUUUCUCUGCAGAGCUUAACUGAAAACUAUAGUGCUAUAAACAGCAAGGUCUUAAACAGCUGCUUUGCAGUCACCUCUUUGCUUUGAAGAGAAU
rnacentral:lncRNA from 1 species